rnacentral:rRNA from 1 species
ACGUAGGGUGCGAGCGUUAAUCGGAAUUACUGGGCGUAAAGCGUGCGCAGGCGGUUCGCCAAGUCAGGUGUGAAAUCCCCGGGCUUAACCUGGGAAUUGCGCUUGUUACUGGCAGGCUUGAGUGUGGCAGAGGGGGGUGGAAUUCCACGUGUGGCAGUGAAAUGCGUAGAGAUGUGGAGGAACACCGAUGGCGAAGGCAGCUCCCUGGGCUAACACUGACGCUCAUGCACGAAAGCGUGGGAAGCAAACAGGA